rnacentral:lncRNA from 1 species
CCAUUUGGAAUUGAAUGGGAAGAGUUGGGCACAUAACUGCAGUUAACUUUGGCAUUUGAAUGUGCCAUAGGAUUCUGUGUAUUUGAUUGAUCAUCCAAAGACUCAUUCCUAACUCACCAACCAGAUAACUCAGUCAUCUAAGCAAACGAUAACUAGACUAAUCAAAUUGCUUUGAUGAUUUACUUGCGAGUACAAAAAUCUUGAUUCUGGUCUAAAUUUUAAGGUGUGUGGUAGAAGCAGCAAAUUGGUUUUUCUAAAAUCUUAGUUCAUAUGGUAUGCAUAUCUGUAGUCAGGUUAUUAUUGCCACACCUGCUCAUUUUCUGAGUUCCAUCACCCAAACCCCUAUGUCCUGGUUAAUUGUAGAAUGGUUGGCAUGUUCAAUCAGCUUAAUCAAGUCCUAAUGGCAGAAUCUUCCAUGAGAAGAAAAGCUGUUC